rnacentral:lncRNA from 1 species
GGGCUGACGGCGGUGGCUGGGGUUUGUGGAGUGUGUGGCGCCGCGGCUGCUGCGUACGGGUGGCAGAUAAAGAAGAUAUUGUACUGUUAUCCAGGUGUCAUAGUUGAUUGAAUUCUACAAGUCUUCAAGACUUCCACUGGAGUGGAAGGGGUGAGGCAACAGCUGUUGAGUUUAGCAGGAGUCCUGAACUAAUAGCCUCUUGACUCUACAAGCAUGCAGUGAUCACCAUCAGUUGUAAUGAAGAGGGUCCAAUGUUGUAAAGAUAAAAAUGUUAUGUUGUAAGUAACCUGCUAAACUUCAGGCCAGACAAACAGACCAUCAGUUUAAAAUUAGUUGUUUUCAGAAGGGUGUAAAAAAAAUGCCAG